AGCAGCCGCGGUAAUUCCAGCUCCAAUAGCGUAUAUUAAAGUUGUUGCAGUUAAAAAGCUCGUAGUUGAAUUUCGGGAUCAAUACGUCGGUCGUGCUUAGGUACGUACUGGCGUAAUUGAUUUCUCCCUUCUGACGAACCAUGAUGUCAUUAACUUGGUGUCAUGGGAAAUCAGGACUGUUACUUUGAAAAAUUAGAGUGUUUAAAGCAGGCUCACGCUUGAAUACAUUAGCAUGGAAUAAUGAAAUAGGACGUUCGAUCCUAUUUUGUUGGUUUUUAGGAUCAACGUAAUGAUUAAUAGGGAUAGUCGGGGGCAUUAGUAUUCAAUUGUCAGAGGUGAAAUUCUUGGAUUUAUUGAAGACUAACUACUGCGAAAGCAUUUGCCAAGGAUGUUUUCAUUAAUCAAGAACGAAAGUUAGGGGAUCGAAGACGAUCAGAUACCGUCGUAGUC
rnacentral:rRNA from 1 species